rnacentral:lncRNA from 1 species
AGACAUGGAAAAAGAACGGCAUCCAUAAUGUUUUCUUAAGUAAUGUUUCUUUUAGCAUAAUAGAACUGUGAUCUUAAAGAAGAAAUAUAAAUGGAUUAUGAUGAAAAUUGUGUAACUCUAUUAUGGAAACGGAUGAACAAUUACAAUUAUUUGAACAUGGAAAACAAGUAAAAACAGAGUAACAAACUGUUAGAGAUAAUCUAACAGCCCCAAAGCACUAAGUGCCCCCAAAUCACUAUGAAAGUGAUCCAAACAAACUAACCAAAUACGUGAAUGAAUCUUAUUCUCUUUCUACUAAGCACUAUAUAUAUAACCAAUUCCUGAUGCAGCACAUGCACUCCUCAUGCAUUCUUUGCCACCUCAACAUUCUUUCAUUCCUUUCCCCUUCCUUUCCACACCUUAGGCUUGGGCCAAAGUCAAGGCCCACUUCAUGAUUCAAGUCUCUAUCAUGAUGUUUUCUCUUCCCCCCUCCCAUGAAUCUUUUAUACCCCCAAUAUUCCAAUUUUGCCCUUGUAGAAAAAUUCGGUUCGCAGAAACCGAAUUUUUCCUAGUGCAAAUUCAGAGUAAAUUUCGGUUUUUAGAAACCGAAAUUUGUUUUCAAGGCAAAACAAAACUUCGGUUUCUACGAAUCGAAGUUUUUUCAAGGGCAAAAUUGGAAACUCAGGGGGGAUAAAAGAUUCACGAGGGGUGGGGAGAGAAAACAUCCUCUAUCAUAGCACAAAAAGGAAAGCAACCAAUCCAAUAUAUAUCUUAAAUAGUAUCUGAAAGAAGCAAAAUUUUGGAUUUGGUNNNN